rnacentral:rRNA from 1 species
GAUGAACGCUGGCGGCGUGCCUAAUACAUGCAAGUCGAGCGAACAGAUGAGAAGCUUGCUUCUCUGAUGUUAGCGGCGGACGGGUGAGUAACACGUGGGUAACCUACCUAUAAGACUGGGAUAACUCCGGGAAACCGGGGCUAAUACCGGAUAAUAUUUUGAACCGCAUGGUUCAAUAGUGAAAGACGGUUUCGGCUGUCACUUAUAGAUGGACCCGCGCCGUAUUAGCUAGUCGGUAAGGAAACGGCUUACCAAGGCGACGAUACGUAGCCGACCUGAGAGGGUGAUCGGCCACACUGGAACUGAGACACGGUCCAGACUCCUACGGGAGGCAGCAGUAGGGAAUCUUCCGCAAUGGGCGAAAGCCUGACGGAGCAACGCCGCGUGAGUGAUGAAGGUCUUCGGAUCGUAAAACUCUGUUGUUAGGGAAGAACAAAUUUGUUAGUAACUGAACAAGUCUUGACGGUACCGAACCAGAAAGCCACGGCUAACUACGUGCCAGCAGCCGCGGUAA